AACGUAGGAGACAAACGUUAUCCGGAGUUACUGGGCGUAAAGGGCGUGUAGGCGGCAGUCUAAGUCUGGCGUGAAAGAUCCCGGCUUAACCGGGGAAGGUCGUCGGAUACUGGGCAGCUAGAGGGCGGUAGAGGCGUGUGGAAUUCCGGGUGUAGUGGUGAAAUGCGUAGAGAUCCGGAGGAACACCAGUGGCGAAGGCGACACGCUGGGCCGCACCUGACGCUGAGGCGCGAUAGCAUGGGGAGCAAACAGG
rnacentral:rRNA from 1 species